rnacentral:rRNA from 1 species
GACCCCGAGUAUAUUGAUUUUGUAAAGGCCCGUCUUAGUGAGCAGUUUCUUAUGUCUGAUCUUGGACCUCUUCGCUACUUUCUUGGGAUUGAAGUCUCUUCGACCUCUGAUGGCUUUUUUAUAUCCCAGGAAAAGUAUAUCCAGGAUCUUCUUGCUCGUGCUGCUCUUACUGACGAGCGCAUUGUUGAGACUCCUAUGGAGCUCAAUGUUCACCUUCGUGCUACUGAUGGUGAUCCCCUUCCUGACCCGACGCGUUAUCGUCAUCUUGUUGGCAGUCUUGUCUAUCUAGCUGUCACUCAUCCGGAUAUCUCUUAUCCGGUUCAUAUUCUGAGUCAGUUCGUCUCUGCUCCCACAUCGGUUCACUAUAGUCAUCUCCUUCGUGUUCUCCGAUAUCUUCGG